rnacentral:lncRNA from 1 species
AUCAUUCUUGCCCGGGAUUUAGCUCAGCGGUUCCGGCGCCUACAGUACAAGCACAAGAUUCCAAAUUCAAUCCCCGGUACCAAAAAAAAAAAAAAAAAAAAAAAAAGCACAUCAUUCUGGUAGUUAUUUUAAAAUUAUUUUAUUAUUGUUGUUAUUUUGCCAUGCAAGGGUCCAACCUAGGACCUCUUGAAGGCCAGCAUGCUAGGCCAACGUUACCAUGGAGCUACAUCCCCUGCAACACGCCAGCCCCAUCCUUUUCAACUUUAGAGGCCUAGACAUCCACACUCACAAGAAAUUCGGAAUGCAAGAGAAUUGUACUUAGGACUCCUUCUUCCCCCUUUCUGUGACCCUGUCUUUCUCUUAACUCUAAGAGUAGCAAGAACUGACUACUUUUUGGUGUGUCCCAACUCUCAGGAUACUGCCUGAGAAUUUUCCACCGUCACUUCAGUCGUCUUCAGCCUCCAUAGCGUCAGAUAACUAACAGGCAAACAAACUUCAUCUCUCCCUCUCCAAAGCCACAACAACAAUGACGGAAAAGAAAGUAGCUGGGCACCUUCUGAUUGCUAAACUGCGCGCUUUGGGGGAAACCACUGGUCUCCCUAUAGGGGGAACUCUACAGAGUGUUUUCCUGAGAGGCCGGCUGGGCGGCGUCCUCUUCUUCCCAAUGCCCUGACUUCUAUUCUUAGAUCUGGAGAUCCGCGGCUUUCAUUUUUCCCUUUAGCGGUCCCCAGGCCUCAGCGGGCCUGGUGAGCUCCAGGGCUUCUCCGGCGGGGCGCUCGGGCUUCCUCCCGCCCCUGGGUGCGGCCGGAGGAGGCGGCGCCCUCGCUGUCUGGAGCUCCCCGCGGACUCCGCUCCAGAAGCCGGGCCCGGCCAGGCCUGCGCGGGGAGGGCGGGCNNNNNNNNNNNNNNNNNNNNNNNNNNNNNNNNNNNNNNNNNNNNNNNNNNNNNNNNNNNGCUGUCAGGGGAGCCAGGACGAGGAAACUCUGAAGAAGUUGAUAGUCAGGCUGAACAACGUCCAGGAGGGAAAGCAGAUAGACACUCUGGUCCAAAUCCUGGAGGACAUGCUGGUGUUCACGUACUCCGACCACGCUGCCAAGUUGUUUGAAGGCAAAAAUUUCCACGUGCCUCUGUUGAUCGUCUUGGACUCCUAUAUCAGAGUGGCGAGUGUGCAGCAGGUAAAGGAGCUUUUUUCCCUGCAAGCAUUUCCCCUUCUGUUUGAGAAGACGCGCUGUCCUGGCAGAUAAUGCUCAGAGUUGCUGGUUAUUUUCCUGAGAUUUGGUUUGUC